GACGAACUUUGGCGGCGUGCUUAACACAUGCAAGUCGAACGGAAAGGCCCUGCUUUUGUGGGGUGCUCGAGUGGCGAACGGGUGAGUAACACGUGAGUAACCUGCCCUUGACUUUGGGAUAACUUCAGGAAACUGGGGCUAAUACCGGAUAGGAGCUCCUGCUGCAUGGUGGGGGUUGGAAAGUUUCGGCGGUUGGGGAUGGACUCGCGGCUUAUCAGCUUGUUGGUGGGGUAGUGGCUUACCAAGGCUUUGACGGGUAGCCGGCCUGAGAGGGUGACCGGCCACAUUGGGACUGAGAUACGGCCCAGACUCCUACGGGAGGCAGCAGUGGGGAAUAUUGCACAAUGGGCGGAAGCCUGAUGCAGCGACGCCGCGUGCGGGAUGACGGCCUUCGGGUUGUAAACCGCUUUCGCCUGUGACGAAGCGUGAGUGACGGUAAUGGGUAAAGAAGCACCGGCUAACUACGUGCCAGCAGCCGCGGUGAUACGUAGGGUGCGAGCGUUGUCCGGAUUUAUUGGGCGUAAAGGGCUCGUAGGUGGUUGAUCGCGUCGGAAGUGUAAUCUUGGGGCUUAACCCUGAGCGUGCUUUCGAUACGGGUUGACUUGAGGAAGGUAGGGGAGAAUGGAAUUCCUGGUGGGGCGGUGGAAUGCGCAGAUAUCAGGAGGAACACCAGUGGCGAAGGCGGUUCUCUGGGCCUUUCCUGACGCUGAGGAGCGAAAGCGUGGGGAGCGAACAGGCUUAGAUACCCUGGUAGUCCACGCUGUAAACGGUGGGUACUAGGUGUGGGGUCCAUUCCACGGGUUCCGUGCCGUAGCUAACGCUUUAAGUACCCCGCCUGGGGAGUACGGCCGCAAGGCUAAAACUCAAAGGAAUUGACGGGGCCCCGCACAAGCGGCGGAGCAUGCGGAUUAAUUCGAUGCAACGCGUAGAACCUUACCUGGGUUUGACAUGGAUCGGGAGUGCUCAGAGAUGGGUGUGCCUCUUUUGGGGUCGGUUCACAGGUGGUGCAUGCCUGUCGUCAGCUCGUGUCGUGAGAUGUUGGGUUAAGUCCCGCAACGAGCGCAACCCUUGUUCACUGUUGCCAGCACGUUAUGGUGGGGACUCAGUGGAGACCGCCGGGGUCAACUCGGAGGAAGGUGGGGAUGACGUCAAGUCCUCAUGCCCCUUAUGUCCAGGGCUUCACGCAUGCUACAAUGGCUGGUACAGAGAGUGGCGAGCCUGUGAGGGUGAGCGAAUCUCGGAAAGCCGGUCUCAGUUCGGAUUGGGGUCUGCAACUCGACCUCAUGAAGUCGGAGUCGCUAGUAAUCGCAAAUCAGCAACGCUGCGGUGAAUACGUUCCCGGGGC
rnacentral:rRNA from 1 species